ACAUCCAGCGAACUUGGCAGAGAUGCCUUGGUGCCUUCGGGAACGCUGAGACAGGUGCUGCAUGGCUGUCGUCAGCUCGUGUUGUGAAAUGUUGGGUUAAGUCCCGNAACGAGCGCAACCCUUAUCCUUUGUUGCCAGCGAUUCGGUCGGGAACUCAAAGGAGACUGCCGGUGAUAAACCGGAGGAAGGUGGGGAUGACGUCAAGUCAUCAUGGCCCUUACGAGUAGGGCUACACACGUGCUACAAUGGCGCAUACAAAGAGAAGCGACCUCGCGAGUAGCAAGCGGACCUCAUAAAGUGCGUCGUAGUCCGGAUCGGAGUCUGCAACUCGACUCCGUGAAGUCGGAAUCGCUAGUAAUCGUGGAUCAGAAUGCCACGGUGAAUACGUUCCCGGGCCUUGUACACACCGCCCGUCACACCAUGGGAGUGGGUUGCAAAAGAAGUAGGUAGCUUAACCUCCGGGAGGGCGCUUACCACUUUGUGAUUCAUGACUGGGGUGAAGUCGUAACAAGGUAAGCGUAGCGAG
rnacentral:rRNA from 1 species